GGCCUCCUUCUUUGGGGCAAUUGAUUGCAGGGCUCUGCAAUCAAUAGCCCCACAGAGGGAGGCC
rfam:Myotis davidii contig225036, whole genome shotgun sequence.